AGAGUUUGAUCCUGGCUCAGAUUGAACGCUGGCGGCAGGCCUAACACAUGCAAGUCGAGCGGUAGAGAGAAGCUUGCUUCUCUUGAGAGCGGCGGACGGGUGAGUAAUGCCUAGGAAUCUGCCUGGUAGUGGGGGAUAACGUUCGGAAACGGACGCUAAUACCGCAUACGUCCUACGGGAGAAAGCAGGGGACCUUCGGGCCUUGCGCUAUCAGAUGAGCCUAGGUCGGAUUAGCUAGUUGGUGAGGUAAUGGCUCACCAAGGCGACGAUCCGUAACUGGUCUGAGAGGAUGAUCAGUCACACUGGAACUGAGACACGGUCCAGACUCCUACGGGAGGCAGCAGUGGGGAAUAUUGGACAAUGGGCGAAAGCCUGAUCCAGCCAUGCCGCGUGUGUGAAGAAGGUCUUCGGAUUGUAAAGCACUUUAAGUUGGGAGGAAGGGCAGUAAAUUAAUACUUUGCUGUUUUGACGUUACCGACAGAAUAAGCACCGGCUAACUCUGUGCCAGCAGCCGCGGUAAUACAGAGGGUGCAAGCGUUAAUCGGAAUUACUGGGCGUAAAGCGCGCGUAGGUGGUUUGUUAAGUUGGAUGUGAAAUCCCCGGGCUCAACCUGGGAACUGCAUUCAAAACUGACUGACUAGAGUAUGGUAGAGGGUGGUGGAAUUUCCUGUGUAGCGGUGAAAUGCGUAGAUAUAGGAAGGAACACCAGUGGCGAAGGCGACCACCUGGACUAAUACUGACACUGAGGUGCGAAAGCGUGGAGAGCAAACAGGAUUAGAUACCCCGGUAGUCCACGCCGUAAACGAUGUCAACUAGCCGUUGGAAGCCUUGAGCUUUUAGUGGCGCAGCUAACGCAUUAAGUUGACCGCCUGGGGAGUACGGCCGCAAGGUUAAAACUCAAAUGAAUUGACGGGGGCCCGCACAAGCGGUGGAGCAUGUGGUUUAAUUCGAAGCAACGCGAAGAACCUUACCAGGCCUUGACAUCCAAUGAACUUUCUAGAGAUAGAUUGGUGCCUUCGGGAACAUUGAGACAGGUGCUGCAUGGCUGUCGUCAGCUCGUGUCGUGAGAUGUUGGGUUAAGUCCCGUAACGAGCGCAACCCUUGUCCUUAGUUACCAGCACGUAAUGGUAGGCACUCUAAGGAGACUGCCGGUGACAAACCGGAGGAAGGUGGGGAUGACGUCAAGUCAUCAUGGCCCUUACGGCCUGGGCUACACACGUGCUACAAUGGUCGGUACAGAGGGUUGCCAAGCCGCGAGGUGGAGCUAAUCCCAUAAAACCGAUCGUAGUCCGGAUCGCAGUCUGCAACUCGACUGCGUGAAGUCGGAAUCGCUAGUAAUCGCGAAUCAGAAUGUCGCGGUGAAUACGUUCCCGGGCCU
rnacentral:rRNA from 1 species